UACGGAGGGUGCGAGCAUUAUUCGGAAUUACUGGGCGUAAAGGGCACGCAGGCGGUUUGUCAAGUUAAAUGUGAAAGCCCCGGGCUUAACCUGGGAACUGCAUUUGAAAAUGGGCGACUAGAGUACGAAAGAGGAAAGCGGAAUUUCAAGUGUAGCGGUGAAAUGCGUAGAUAUUGGGAGGAACACCGAUGGCGAAGGCAGCUUCCUGGGCAGAGACUGACGCUGAUGUGCGAAAGCGUGGGGAGCAAACAGG
rnacentral:rRNA from 1 species